GAUUUGUUCCAUCAGAUUGGAAGGAAUCCUAGAGGCGAAAAAGCUUGUUGAAGAAGACGAAAGAGAAGUAAUGGCAUUUUUGAGGGGAGAACCAUUGAUAACGAAGCUUGCAGUGCUGGCUAAGCACGUUAUUCUUCCAGGUUCCAUGGUGGCUGCUUUGAUCUACUCUCCUCCCGACUAUUUUUACUAUUCCAAGACAGAUAAAUCAUCCAAAUAGGUAAUGACUGAUGGCUAGAUCAGCGUGGAAUUGAACAUGAACUCUUUUCAGUGCGGAAUAAACCCAGGACCCAAGAGUCACUGGAUUUAUGUAAUGGGUUUUUUUGGAUUGAAACUCUUGUACUUGUUUUUAUUGGUCUCUCUUUACAGUGUGCUUAGUUCCAAAACUUCUACGGUAUUUCUCUUUUGAUCAAAUGUGGAAUCAGUAGAUUUGUGGAAUGAAUAGGUUUUGCCAUA